GUGCAUCUGUUAUCUGUUUAGUUCUGCUUUCUGCUCAUGAUUGUGGGAUUGUGAACAUGGUGCGUAGAUGAAAUGCUGCUUCUGAAGCAGCGGCGGCCAGACAACCGUUGAGAUAGAUCCACAGAUGAACAGUCUUUAUAGCGUUUGUCUACUAAUUAUAUCUCAAAUUU